rnacentral:tRNA from 1 species
GGAUGCAUAGCUCAGCAGGUCAGAGCAGCCGGCUCAUAACCGGCCGAUCGGAGGUUCGAAUCUUCCUGCAUCCA